GACGAAGCGUGCAAACGUUAUUCGGAUUCACUGGGCUUAAAGGGCGCGUAGGCGGGUGGUCAAGUCGGGGGUGAAAUCUUUCAGCUCAACUGGAAAAUAGCUUCCGAUACUGGCCGGCUUGAGGGAGGUAGGGGCAUGUGGAACUUCCGGUGGAGCGGUGAAAUGCGUAGAUAUCGGAAGGAACGCCGGUGGCGAAAGCGACGUGCUGGACCUUUUCUGACGCUGAGGCGCGAAAGCCAGGGGAGCAAACGGG
rnacentral:rRNA from 1 species